CUCCUACGGGAGGCAGCAGUGGGGAAUAUUGGACAAUGGGCGAAAGCCUGAUCCAGCAAUACCGCGUGUGUGAAGAAGGCCCUAGGGUUGUAAAGCACUUUUGUUAGGGAGAACGGGUAUUAUGGUUAAUAACCAUAGUAUCUGAUGUUACCUAAAGAA
rnacentral:rRNA from 1 species